UACAGAGGGGGCGAGCGUUGUUCGGAAUUACUGGGCGUAAAGGGCGCGUAGGCGGCCAACUAAGUCAGACGUGAAAAUCCCUCGGCUCAACCGGGGGAACUGCGUCUGAUACUGGAUGGCUUGAAUUCGGGAGAGGGAUGCGGAAUUCCAGGUGUAGCGGUGAAAAUGCGUAGAUAUCUGGAGGAACACCGGUGGCGAAGGCGGCAUCCUGGACCGAGAU
rnacentral:rRNA from 1 species